rnacentral:ncRNA from 2 species
CACCACUCGUCACUACUACCGAUUAAAUGAUACGGUAAAAUGUUCGGAUCGCAGUGACGUGGGUGGGUCGCUGCCCGCGACGUCACGAGAAGUCCAUUUAACCUUAUCAUUUAGAAGAAAGAGAAGUCGUAACAAGGUUUCCGUAGGUGAACUUGCGGAAG